CCUACGGGUGGCUGCAGUGAGGAAUAUUGGUCAAUGGCCGGAAGGCUGAACCAGCCAAGCCGCGUGAAGGACGAAGGUGCCAAGCAUUGUAAACUUCUUUUGUCAAGGGACAAAAUCAGGCUCGAGAGCCUGACCGCAGGUACUUGAAGAAAAAGCAUCGGCUAACUCCGUGCCAGCAGCCGCGGUAAUACGGAGGAUGCGAGCGUUAUCCGGAUUUAUUGGGGUUAAAGGGUGCGUAGGCGGGCUGUUAAGUCAGCGGUUAAAGCCCCGGGCUCAACCCCGGCAGGGCCGUUGAAACUGGCUGGCUUGAGAUGUCGAGAGGUAGGCGGAAUGCGAAGUGUAGCGGUGAAAUGCGUAGAGAUUGCGCAGAACACCGAUUGCGAAGGCAGCAUACCGGCGGCGAUCUGACGCUGAGGCACGAAAGCGUGGGUAUCGAACAGGAUUAGAUACCCGGGUAGUC
rnacentral:rRNA from 1 species